AUCCAUGAAAUUUGGAUCUAGUUCCAUUUGCACAAAGGCGACUUGACUCAAUGGCUCAUCUUUAAGAAGGAGACAGGAAGCUGGAGAGUUGCAUUUUGAACCACGAUCUCAUUCAGUCGCGUUUCUGUAUGGUCUCAAACUUCAUAGAUCGUUAAUUACUGAUACUGUAAUCUAGUAUAUACCUUGCAGUCGAUAAUGGAAGUAAUUGAACUUGUUGUUGCUGGUGGUUGUUAUGUGGGAGUAUGGGAGGAGACUCCCAAAAUAUUGAAUUGGAAAUCUAUUAGUAAAACAACAGUUCCAAUUACGUUGUGUCCAAUGGUUCAUAUGAUGAUAUGAUUGCAAGUGUAAUUGAGGCCGAUAAGUUAACUUGCGAGCCAAAUGACUUGGCGAUUAGCUAUCAAAUGAAGGGAAGAGAAAAAAUACAUCCCACAUUCAUAAUAAAUGAUAGACAUGUGAGCUUGUGCAUGUUUGAUAUUGGUCUUGAUUGCUUUAGGCCUAUAUUGAGGAUAAACAUCAAUGCGAGGCCUCCAAUUGAACCAACAAAUUCAUUUAAUGGCGACAAUGAUUCCAUUGGAAAUGAAAGAUUGGAUGAUAAUUGAAAGUAGAGCUUGAGUGAUAAUUCAAAUGAGAGCUUAGGUGAUCAUUCAAUGAAUAUACAUGAUGAUCCAACUAAUGUGGAAAAUCAGCUGAUAGAUGCGGAAGAUCCUCAACCGAAUGUUCUGAAGAAAUGCAGGGACAAAUGGAAUUGAAAUCACAUUCCAACCAUUCCUUCUCCGAUGAAACUUACUUAUGUACAAACCAAACUUUUAGUAAUAAGAAUGAGUUGAAAUUGUUAUUAUCCAAAGCGGCUGCAAAAAAAUCCUUUGAUUUUGCUAUUCUGAAUAGUUGUACUAAAUACUUAAAGGUGAAUGUGUAUCUCGCCAACUGUGUAUGGAUGUUCCGGGCGAGGAAAUGUGAGUGUUCACAUAGAUUUUGUAUCUAUAAGUACAUUAGCGAACAUAGUUGUGGCAUUGAACAUGCCAACAUUUAGCCAUUGAAAAAUUUCAAUCAAAGUGAUUGCUUCACUUUGUGUAUAUAUGUAUCAUGAUGACAAGAGUCCAAAUGUUAAAGGAUUCAAAGAGAUGUGUGUAAUUCUUUUCA